AAACUGAUGAAGUGCUGUGAUGCCAUAUCCUAAACCUAGACCAGUUGGGAGGGGAUUAAUGCUGUCCUAAAGGCUCUGUGAAAUUCACACUGCGGUCAGAGGUGGUGCGUCCAGCAUGAGGUGUUGCAGAACACUAACAAGGAAAGGUUCCCAGAAGACACUGUUUCCUGGGAAAUGUCUUUGUGGUGCUGGUUGAGUGCCUGCACGGCCUCAGGGAGAAGGAGCAGAGCUUGACACUGUCCUGAUGCACAGCUUCAAACUGCCGUUAGGCUGCCAUGGGAUGGCUGGGAAAUGUGUAAAUGGGUAAAACAACGUGUAUUGGUGAAACCAGCUUGCUGGCAUUACAGAGCUUGUUUAAUCGUGGAGUCACAGAAUGGCCUGGGAUGAAAGGGACCUCAAAGAUCAUCUAGUUCCAACCCCCUGGAAAGUCUGCAUUAAGAAAUAGUACCAGCUUCUCUCCUGGGGCUUGUAAUUGUCACUUACCAGCACCGUGAUCUUUAACACAACGACUCUCUAGUGGCAUCACUGUGGUUGCAGUCACCCCAAUCCUCUGCAGACGGAGAUUACUUGAGGUGAGAUGGAGAGGGACAGAGGGAUGAAAAGCAGGGAAGCCACAAGCCUGGAGCUGAUGCCACCGCAGAGAUGUGCUGAGUGUCAGGAGUGAGUCUGCUAUCCCCUACACCUGGGCUGCUCUGCAGGUAAGGGGCGAGGUGGGGCAGUGCAGAAGCAAUGGGCACAGAGGGGCUGGUGAGCGGCUGCUGAGGACGAGAGGUGUGCUGUGGUUGUGACUUGGGGGAAACCUCUCAGGUGCACUGAAAUCUGGAGGUGUGAACCAUGUGGCUGGAGCCCUUUGGAUGAAGUCCAAGGCACGGGGCAGCUUCCCAUGCCGAGCUUCCUCAGGGCUGGCUCCCUGGUGGCAGGACUGUCCCAUUCCCAUUGGAGUGGGGGGCAGUUGCUCUGGUUGGCUUUGGUUGAACAUCUGUAUUAAUGGAAGGGAAAUUCCUGAGGUUGGCAUUGGAGCCAGGAAGGAAAAUGAGUUUUUCUGGAGUCCUUUAAUCACAGUUUCUUCAUGAGCUGUCAGAAAUGCCGGCAUUAUUUAAUCGUCUGUUAAAUCCCAAUCACAUGAGCACUUUCCCUGAGUGCAAUG
ensembl:lncRNA